UAUUGGUCAAUAGCUUAACGGCUGAACCAGCAACUUGGAGGAAUGUAUAGGGAAAACUGGUAAAAUGUGAUGUACCUAGUAAUAUUAGAAAUUAAUAUGAGAUUAACUAAGUUAAUUAAAGUUCUAAGCAGAUGUUUGAUUAUGACAAUAUCUGUACAGGUCUUGACCAAGUCACGUGCCAGCAGUCGCGGUAAUACGUGGAAGACAAGUGUUAUUCAUCAUUAUUGGGUUUAAAGGGUACCUAGACGGUUAAUUAAGCAAUAAGAUGUACUAAUUAUCUAGAGUUUAAUGUAAGAAGGAUAGAGUACGGUGAGAGUAGAGAUAAAAUUCUUUGAUACCACCUGGAACUGGUAACAGCGAAGGCUACCUUCAAUGUAAAAAACUGACGUUGAAGGACGAAGGA
rnacentral:rRNA from 1 species